rnacentral:misc_RNA from 1 species
AGCAGCCGCGGUAAUUCCAGCUCCAAUAGCGUAUAUUAAAGUUGUUGCAGUUAAAAAGCUCGUAGUUGAAUUUCGGGGUCAAUAAGUUGGUCGUGCCAAUGGUAUGCACUGGCUUUAUUGAUUCCUACCUCUUGACGAACUGUGAUGCCAUUAAUUUGGUGUCGCAAGGAAUCAGGACUGUUACCUUGAAAAAUUAGAGUGUUUAAAGCAGGCUUACGCUUGAAUACAUUAGCAUGGAAUAAUGAAAUAGGACGUUUGAACCUAUUUUGUUGGUUUUUAGGAUCGACGUAAUGAUUAAUAGGGAUAGUUGGGGGCAUUAGUAUUCAAUUGUCAGAGGUGAAAUUCUUGGAUUUAUUGAAGACUAACUACUGCGAAAGCAUCUGCCAAGGAUGUUUUCAUUAAUCAAGAACGAAAGUUAGGGGAUCGAAGACGAUCAGAUACCGUCGUAGUCUUAACCAUAAACUAUGCCGACUAGGGAUCGGAUGAUGUUAAUUUUAAUGUACUCAUUCGG